AUUGAACGCUGGCGGCAGGCCUAACACAUGCAAGUCGAGCGGCAGCGGAAAGUAGGUUGCUACUUUGCCGGCGAGCGGGGGAAGGGUGAGUAAUGUCUGGGAAACUGCCUGAUGGAGGGGGAUAACUACUGGAAACGGUAGCUAAUACCGCACGACCUCAAAAGAGCAGAGUGGGGGAUCUUCGGACCUCACGCCUUCGGAUGUGCCCAGAUGGGAUUAGCUAGUAGGUGAGGUAAUGGCUCACCUAGGCGACGAUCCCUAGCCGGUCUGAGAGGAUGACCAGCCACACUGGAACUGAGACACGGUCCAGACUCCUACGGGAGGCGGCAGUGGGGAAUAUUGGACAAUGGGCGCAAGCCUGAUGCGCCCAUGCCGCGUGUGUGAAGAAGGCCUUGGGUUGUAAAGCACUUUCAGCGAGGAGGAAGGCAUCAUACUUAAUACGUGUGGUGAUUGACGUUACUCGCAGAACAAGCACCGGCUAACUCCGUGCCAGCAGCCGCGGUAAUACGGAGGGUGCAAGCGUUAAUCGGAAUUACUGGGCGUAAAGCGCACGCAGGCGGUUUGUUAAGUCAGAUGUGAAAUCCCCGCGCUUAACAUGGGAACUGCAUUUGAAACUGGCAAGCUAGAGUCUUGUAGAGGGGGGUAGAAUUCCAAGUGUAGCGGUGAAAUGCGUAGAGAUCUAGAGGAAUACCGGUGGCGAACGCGGCCCACUGGACUAAACUGACGCUCAGGUGCGAAAGCGUGGGGAGCAAACAGG
rnacentral:rRNA from 1 species